GACGAACGCUGGCGGCGUGCUUAACACAUGCAAGUCGAACGGAAAGGCCCUGCUUUUGUGGGGUGCUCGAUUGGCGAACGGGUGAGUAACACGUGAGUAACCUGCCCUUGACUUUGGGAUAACUUCAGGAAACUGGGGCUAAUACCGGAUAGGAGCUCCUGCUGCAUGGUGGGGGUUGGAAAGUUUCGGCGGUUGGGGAUGGACUCGCGGCUUAUCAGCUUGUUGGUGGGGUAGUUGCUUACCAAGGCUUUGACGGGUAGCCGGCCUGAGAGGGUUACCGGCCACAUUGGGACUGCGAUACGGCCCAGUAUCCUACGGGAGGCAGUGGUGGGGAAUAUUGCAGAAUGGGCGGAAGCCUGAUGCAGCAACGCCGCGUGCGGGAUGACGGCCUUCGAGUUAUAAACCGCUUUCGACUGUGACGAAGCGUGAGUGACGGUAAUGGGUAAAGAAGCACCGGCUAACUACGUG
rnacentral:rRNA from 1 species